AAGCAUGGCUAUGGAGUACGUGGGGAACGAGGCCGGAGUGAUCCGCGCAGAGUAAAUCCUGGGGCUUUCAUGUAAGCCGUUUUGAAGGGAACGGACCGUACGUGGAGAGACGCGCGAUACUGAAAUACAGGCUGCCCUGGAGUUGACAGCAAGAACCAGAGUGUCCCUCCUCCAAAGUGAACCAAGAAAAUGCUCAGUUUUUAUACAUUUCUGCAACUGGCCUUAAAAUGUCAUCUUCUGCCCCAUUUGACAAGAUGGGGGCUCUUGCCUGUGUGCAGAGUGCAUGAUGACAUCAAAGGUAAUGACCUUGUGCAACUUUCUUAGGCUCAUGGCCCAUUAGCCACUUGUCACCAGUUUCACCCCCCCUCUUACUAACCCCUUUCAUACUGUCCCCAAUGUUAAACAAUACCAUGCAAUAAAGGGAAUCAAACUACCCAAAUCUUAUCAUACAUGUGGGCCAUCAAUCAGAAAGAAGUAAAUGUAGCAAACAUAUAAGAACAUAAGCCUGUUUGACUCCAUUCAGCAUUUCUCAACCAGGGAAAUGCUUAGGGACUGGAUUACGUUACCAACCCCCCAUAGUUCAUUGUAUUUAUUUAAUUUUAUCUGACCUGCUGCAUUUGUAUCCCGCUGAUGCGUUUUAUGUCACGGAGUGUCAUAUUGUGUAUGACUGAUAAGUUCAAAAUUAGAAUUUGAAUCAUUGAAUUGCAGGGAAUGGACCAUGUACUGUGGUCAUGUGACCAAGAUAAUUAAUGUAAGAAAAGGUGCAGGUGUUGCUGGGGGCCAUACCUGGAGUGGGGGGGGCCUUCGCUACAGACGGGUGUCAGGGCAACAUUAAAAGCUUUUAAGG